CAUCGUUUUAAAUGAUCUUGAAAGUAAAAAUAAAUAAAUAAAUAAAUAAUCAAAUAAACACGUGACGUCAUUAACCUGUGUAUAAGAAGGAAGCUUGCAUUUUCAUCUGUUGUGGAGGUGCUUUAACGACCAAGUUUUUAUAUUCCAGACACUUCCCUAACAUUUCAUCAUGGCUAAGUUUCAGCAUGGCAUCUUCGGUUGCUUCGACAACUGCUGUAUCUGUCUGAUUGCUUACUUUGUGCCUUGCUACAUCUUUGGAAGAAACGCCGGAGCUGUGGGUGAAUCCUGUUUCUUAUAUGGCCUGGUCUUCACUGUGCCCAUCUUGGGCGUCCUUUUCCAUUGGUCCAUCCGUAGUAAAAUUCGAUCUUCACGGAACAUAGACGGCAAUUGCAUAAAAGACAUGUUGGCCGUCUGCCUCUGUCCUUGUUGUGCACUGAUCCAAGAAGCUCAAGAGGUCAAUGCUCCACGAACUCAAUCUAUGGCAAGAUCAUAAGAAAGUCAUUACAGUGUCUGCCCUCCAAAAAGUAAAUUAUUUUUCUUGCUCGCCAAGAGAAAGGAAAUGUAACAUUUAAUGGUAAACAUUUUUUUCGUAUGAACAUCUCUCUACAUGUAGGCCUAUAAAUAUAUAGAGAACUUUUAUCAGCCGCAUAGGUUUUUGUUUGAUCUAAAUCUCUACGUGAUAGACUGUGUGGGACAGUAAUAAGAAUAGUUCUGUGCAGCUAUUCGUAUAUCUUGGAAAUAUUUUUGCAGCUUAUUUUUCAGCGUAUUCAUUUUUAGAUGAGUCGGUCACGUCUUCAACCCAACCUGUUUCUUUGUGGUUUACAUACUUGUUGACGCAAAGAAAUAAGAUCCGUGUUGCUGCAGAACGUCUAGAGCUGAUGAACUAAAGUAAACUAAAUAAACUAAAGCAGUUCAAUGAUAGAGGAGUGUGAUCUCCGUGUCAUUAGGAAAUCUCAACGUGAUCUCCACCCCAACAUGAAACCUCCGUGUGAUGCUGAAAUUAUGCUGAAAUUAUGUGACUCCAAGCAAAUAAAAAGUCUGUUUUGAUGAUAUCCCGUGAUCCCCAUGUAAAUAUGAACUCUUCAUUUAAUCUGACGUGAUUCCCAUGCUAAUAUGAAAUCUUCAUUUAAUCUGACGUGAUCCCCAUGCCAAUAUGAAAUCUUCAUUUAAUUUAACGUGAUCUUUAUGACAAUAUGAAAUCUUCAUUUAAUCCCACGUGAUCUCCAUACCAAUAUGAUAUUGCCUUUUUAUCUCACGUGAUUUCCACGCCAUUAAAUCCAUGUGAUUAUGAAAUCACGUGAUCUCCAUGCCAUUUUGAAAUUUUCAUGUAAUGAUGAAAUCGUAUGAUAUCCAUGUCGCUUUGAAAAGUCUAUGUGAUCAACAUGUGAUGAUGACACCUUCAUGGGAUACCACUCCCAAUUGUAUAGUCCAGCCGAGCUAGCUCCCUUUUGUAAAUCGUUUUUGUCUUAUUGUUUUCGAAAUCAAAGCGCUGCAAGACCUCUAGCUAGUCCGAACAAGACCUCUAUCUAGUCUGUACCAGAACUCUAUCUAGUCUGCACAAGAACUCUAUCUAGUCUGUACCAGAACUCUAUCUAGUCUGUACCAGAACUCUAUCUAGUCUGUACAAGAACUCUAUCUAGUCUGUACCAGAACUCUAUCUAGUCUGUACCAGAACUCUAUCUAGUCUGUACCAGAACUCUAUCUAGUCUGUACAAGAACUCUAUCUAGUCUGUACCAGAACUCUAUCUAGUCUGUACCAGAACUCUAUCUAGUCUGUACAAGAACUCUAUCUAGUCUGUACCAGAACUCUAUCUAGUCUGUACAAGAACUCUAUCUAGUCUGUACCAGAACUCUAUCUAGUCUGUACCAGAACUCUAUCUAGUCUGUACCAGAACUCUAUCUAGUCUGUACCAGAACCUUGCAAACUUUACUUGAAUGUGAUUGUGUCUCUACAUUCCCACCGUUUAAAGUGUAUGCACUAAUGCCUUAUAUGCAGGAAACUAGGAAAUGCAUCUGUCAUGGAAUUUUGUACUAAUAUUAUUUUACUAUUUAUUACAUGUAUAUACAAAUAAUGCGGUCUGAUUUUAUAACAUCAUGCGGUCUGAUUUUAUAACAUCAUGAAUUGACAUCAAUACAAAUCAUUUUUAUUUUAAUAAAACUCUUUGCACAAUGUC